GCGUAAGCGCACGCAGGCGGUCUGUCAAGUCGGAUGUGAAAUCCCCGGGCUCAACCUGGGAACUGCAUUCGAAACUGGCAGGCUAGAGUCUUGUAGAGGGGGGUAGAAUUCCAGGUGUAGCGGUGAAAUGCGUAGAGAUCUGGAGGAAUACCGGUGGCGAAGGCGGCCCCCUGGACAAAGACUGACGCUCAGGUGCGAAAGCGUGGGGAGCAAACAGGAUUAGAUACCCUGGUAGUCCACGCCGUAAACGAUGUCGACUUGGAGGUUGUGCCCUUGAGGCGUGGCUUCCGGAGCUAACGCGUUAAGUCGACCGCCUGGGGAGUACGGCCGCAAGGUUAAAACUCAAAUGAAUUGACGGGGGCCCGCACAAGCGGUGGAGCAUGUGGUUUAAUUCGAUGCAACGCGAAGAACCUUACCUACUCUUGACAUCCAGAGAACUUUGCAGAGAUGCAUUGGUGCCUUCGGGAACUCUGAGACAGGUGCUGCAUGGCUGUCGUCAGCUCGUGUUGUGAAAUGUUGGGUUAAGUCCCGCAACGAGCGCAACCCUUAUCCUUUGUUGCCAGCGGUUAGGCCGGGAACUCAAAGGAGACUGCCAGUGAUAAACUGGAGGAAG
rnacentral:rRNA from 1 species